CACUAUCGUUAACUGAAUACAUAGGUUAACGAGGCGAACCGGGGGAACUGAAACAUCUAAGUACCCCGAGGAAAAGAAAUCAACCGAGAUUCCCCCAGUAGCGGCGAGCGAACGGGGAGCAGCCCAGAGUCUGAAUCAGCUUGUGUGUUAGUGGAACGGUCUGGAAAGUCCGACGGUACAGGGUGAUAGUCCCGUACACCAAAAUGCACAGGCUGUGAACUCGAAGAGUAGGGCGGGACACGUGGUAUCCUGUCUGAAUAUGGGGGGACCAUCCUCCAAGGCUAAAUACUCCUGACUGACCGAUAGUGAACCAGUACCGUGAGGGAAAGGCGAAAAGAACCCCGGCGAGGGGAGUGAAAAAGAACCUGAAACCGUGUACGUACAAGCAGUGGGAGCACCUUCGGGUGUGACUGCGUACCUUUUGUAUAAUGGGUCAGCGACUUAUAUUCUGUAGCAAGGUUAACCGUAUAGGGGAGCCGCAGGGAAACCGAGUCUUAACUGGGCGUUAAGUUGCAGGGUAUAGACCCGAAACCCGGUGAUCUAGCCAUGGGCAGGUUGAAGGUUGGGUAACACUAACUGGAGGACCGAACCGACUAAUGUUGAAAAAUUAGCGGAUGACUUGUGGCUGGGGGUGAAAGGCCAAUCAAACCGGGAGAUAGCUGGUUCUCCCCGAAAGCUAUUUAGGUAGCGCCUCGUGAACUCAUCUUCGGGGGUAGAGCACUGUUUCGGCUAGGGGGUCAUCCCGACUUACCAACCCGAUGCAAACUACGAAUACCGAAGAAUGUUAUCACGGGAGACACACGGCGGGUGCUAACGUCCGUCGUGAAGAGGGAAACAACCCAGACCGCCAGCUAAGGUCCCAAAGUCAUGGUUAAGUGGGAAACGAUGUGGGAAGGCACAGACAGCCAGGAUGUUGGCUUAGAAGCAGCCAUCAUUUAAAGAAAGCGUAAUAGCUCACUGGUCGAGUCGGCCUGCGCGGAAGAUGUAACGGGGCUAAACCAUGCACCGAAGCUGCGGCAGCGACACUAUGUGUUGUUGGGUAGGGGAGCGUUCUGUAAGCCUGCGAAGGUGACCUGUGAGGGUUGCUGGAGGUAUCAGAAGUGCGAAUGCUGACAUAAGUAACGAUAAAGCGGGUGAAAAGCCCGCUCGCCGGAAGACCAAGGGUUCCUGUCCAACGUUAAUCGGGGCAGGGUGAGUCGACCCCUAAGGCGAGGCCGAAAGGCGUAGUCGAUGGGAAACAGGUUAAUAUUCCUGUACUUGGUGUUACUGCGAAGGGGGGACGGAGAAGGCUAUGUUAGCCGGGCGACGGUUGUCCCGGUUUAAGCAUGUAGGCUGG
rnacentral:rRNA from 1 species